rnacentral:tRNA from 3 species
CGAGGUGUGGCUCAGUUUGGUAGAGCGCUGCGUUCGGGACGCAGAGGUCGCAAGUUCAAAUCUUGUCACCUCGA